UCUUCCUUACACAAUUUUGUGUCUAUUUUAUCUUAUCGGAACAGAUUUUAGCUGAAUGUUUUCAGCCUUCUGGUGUGUUAAUGGCAUUGAUAGGCUCUCGGUUCUACAAAUUUUGGCAAGUGAUAAUGCAAUAACUGUCUGAACGCUUUUUGAUCUUCCGAGUAUGUCUUGCGUAUUUGUUCUUUAUUCUUUCGGUAUUAAUAUACCUCUUUAAUCUUUCCGAUAAAAGAAAGGAAAAAAGUUAACCCCAAGAGAGUGCAGCGUGAGAAUGGAUCCCAAUUACUCAAAUAUGACCCAAAAUUUGGGAUGAUUAAUGGUAAAUUGAUAAUUAUUGGAUGGCGAGUGCACGUAUCAUCGGAGACUUGGGUUCUUAACCUGUGUGGCCCCAAAUUAAAAAGAAAUAUCCGUUGAUAUGCUUUGAAUCUAGGAAUAUGAUAUAGAUAUUAUUGGCGGCCCAAGCUGCUCAAAUCAGUAACAUGUAAUCUAGCCGUCCCACAAUAAAUCUGUUGUCUGUUUCUGCCCAUGGACGUAGCCAACAUGUUGUUGGUGAACUACAUAAAUGUGUGUCUUCUUUAUAUUUUCUGUUUGUUAUUCGAUCAUUAUCCAUAAUCCGUCGUCACAAAACUAUUUUACAUAGAGAUAAAGGAGAAAGGCUACCAAACCUUCAAGGGUGAUGAAGCUGAGGUUAAGAGGGCUAGUGAGCAACCAUCCAAGAUCCAGGCAAUUCAAGACAGUGAAAGUCACUUAGGCGACCAUAUAUGAGAACCACUGAACCAGUUCUCUGUAUCAUCUAAUCACUUAGCAGCUAUACAUCCGAGAAAGAUGAGGAAACCCGCUUCUGCCACCUCCAAGAAGGAAGAGAAUCCAAGGUGUUAGAAUAUGUUUUUGGCUAACGUAUAUUAUUGGAUGAAAUAAUUGCAUAUAUUUUUUUGAUUGAAUUUCUGAUAUGAUCUGAGAUGUAUACGGAUAGAUUUGUGGAUGAAAGUAUGAAGAUUUUUAUGGAAAUAUUGUACGGUUAAUUUUGGGAUUUAUCGAGUAAAUUAUCAAGUCAAAAUAUAAGUGACUUUUUUUUCCAUAUUUGAUGCUUUAUCAACAUAAAGAUUUUUUUGUGGUGAGAUUGACUUAUGGGGGAUUUGGAGACAUGAAAAAAGAAAGUGGUGUUGAGAAUUAGAAUUUAGACAUAAAAUAUUUUGAGAAAAAAAGGAGAGAAGAACUCAACACAAUUCUUGAGAGAAUUGUUGAUUUUCAUGGGUAAAUUAUGAUGAGUUUUUCUUCCGCAUGUUCUUGGUUUUCUUGAGAAAUAUUCAUGCAUAUUUGAAGAAAUUUAAUGGUGGAAUGUUGGAGAACAAGUUAAGAUAGGUUCUAGACUUUAUUGGAUUCGUACAAAAAGAUUAUUAGGUGAAGACGCAAUCAACAUCAGAAGCUGAUAACGGAUGCAUCCUGAGUGAUUCAUGUCCGGUGUAGGCGACGCUCCAACACUGGUGACAGAUUGGUCAUGUGAAUGAAUUCUGGAUUGGUAUCUCCUGGUGUAAGUCACGGUUGAGCCAAACUGGAAGAACAAAUUGUGUGUUCCCUUUGUUUUUCUGUGAUCCCAAAAGAGUCAUUUAUCAUUGUGCCUCCGGGGAUGAUGAUCUUGGCAACCAUACAAACAGUUGGCAUUGGUCAUUUUGUGAAGGUAUAACUGGUAGAACACUCUUCUUUUGCCGCUUCUGGUGGGGAUCGAGAACUCGUGCUUUUGAAGUUUAUAAUGAAAAAUGGGCGUAUUCGGCUUGUGGAAAAUAUGGAAACUGCAUAUGGCAUGUGCGGCCGGACGGUUUCUUUCUUGAGUUUGACAAAAUCCUUCAAAAAAAGUAUGAUUGGUAGCGAUAUAAUGUGUUGUCCGAAGCAAUUAUAU